AAAUUGAAGAGUUUGAUCAUGGCUCAGAUUGAACGCUGGCGGCAGGCCUAACACAUGCAAGUCGAACGGUAACAGGAAGCAGCUUGCUGCUUCGCUGACGAGUGGCGGACGGGUGAGUAAUGUCUGGGAAACUGCCUGAUGGAGGGGGAUAACUACUGGAAACGGUAGCUAAUACCGCAUAACGUCGCAAGACCAAAGAGGGGGACCUUCGGGCCUCUUGCCAUCGGAUGUGCCCAGAUGGGAUUAGCUAGUAGGUGGGGUAACGGCUCACCUAGGCGACGAUCCCUAGCUGGUCUGAGAGGAUGACCAGCCACACUGGAACUGAGACACGGUCCAGACUCCUACGGGAGGCAGCAGUGGGGAAUAUUGCACAAUGGGCGCAAGCCUGAUGCAGCCAUGCCGCGUGUAUGAAGAAGGCCUUCGGGUUGUAAAGUACUUUCAGCGGGGAGGAAGGCGAUAAGGUUAAUAACCUUGUCGAUUGACGUUACCCGCAGAAGAAGCACCGGCUAACUCCGUGCCAGCAGCCGCGGUAAUACGGAGGGUGCAAGCGUUAAUCGGAAUUACUGGGCGUAAAGCGCA
rnacentral:rRNA from 1 species